UACGUAGGGGGCAAGCGUUGUCCGGAAUCAUUGGGCGUAAAGCGCGUGUAGGCGGCUGGGUAAGUCCGCUCUGAAAGCCCGGGGCUCAACCCCGGGAGGCGGGUGGAUACUGCUCAGCUCGAGUCCGGAAGAGGAGUGUGGAAUUCCUGGUGUAGCGGUGAAAUGCGCAGAUAUCAGGAGGAACACCAAUGGCGAAGGCAGCACUCUGGGACGGUAGUGACGCUGAGACGCGAAAGCGUGGGGAGCGAACAGG
rnacentral:rRNA from 1 species